CCAGCUGGAAUGGCAGGUGGCACCUAGGCAAGGUGCUAAUGUAGGCUAUCACUUUGUUUUUUCCAUUCUCUCAUCAGGAGUUUAAUUCUUUCUCAUCAACUGCCAUUUCUCAGUGAACGCUGUGUAUUGGGUGCUGGGAAUACAACACUGCACAAGACAAAUAAGGCUUCUGUCUUACAGUGAUCUUAUAGUGAGGAAGACACGCAAAUCUGUACAGAUGGCAAUAAGCUCUAUGAAGGAAAAGGACAUGGUGUUGAGACAGAAAGCAACUGAGGUUGGAAAGAUCUCCGGGGAAGGACAUGGCAACCCACUCCAGUAUUCUUACUGGGAGAAUCUCAUGGACAGAGGAGCCUGGCAUGCUACAGUCCAUGGGGUCACAAGAGUCAGACACGACUUAGCGACUAACCCACCACCACCACCACCAUUUUCAGCAACAUUUGUGGACAUUUGUUGUGGACUUCUGUUAUGUAAGUACCUGCAUAAUAACCAUCUUGAUUUUACCUUUGAGCACCUCCAAGCCCCAAAUGUUAACUCUCUGCCUUUUACAGAAGUUUCCUCAGCCCAUGUUAUCGAUAUAUUGUACCAUUGUGGGUUUUUUGGACAAUCAUAAAACUAAAAGGACAGGGACUUAAAUGUAAGCUAGAACCAAACCC
ensembl:lncRNA